rnacentral:rRNA from 1 species
CUAGCUACAGGCUUAACACAUGCAAGUCGAGGGGCAGCAUGGUCUUAGCUUGCUAAGGCCGAUGGCGACCGGCGCACGGGUGAGUAACACGUAUCCAACCUGCCGUCUACUCUUGGACAGCCUUCUGAAAGGAAGAUUAAUACAAGAUGGCAUCAUGAGUCCGCAUGUUCACAUGAUUAAAGGUAUUCCGGUAGACGAUGGGGAUGCGUUCCAUUAGAUAGUAGGCGGGGUAACGGCCCACCUAGUCUUCGAUGGAUAGGGGUUCUGAGAGGAAGGUCCCCCACAUUGGAACUGAGACACGGUCCAAACUCCUACGGGAGGCAGCAGUGAGGAAUAUUGGUCAAUGGGUGAGAGCCUGAACCAGCCAAGUAGCGUGAAGGAUGACUGCCCUAUGGGUUGUAAACUUCUUUUAUAAAGGAAUAAAGUCGGGUAUGGAUACCCGUUUGCAUGUACUUUAUGAAUAAGGAUCGGCUAACUCCGUGCCAGCAGCCGCGGUAAUACGGAGGAUCCGAGCGUUAUCCGGAUUUAUUGGGUUUAAAGGGAGCGUAGAUGGAUGUUUAAGUCAGUUGUGAAAGUUUGCGGCUCAACCGUAAAAUUGCAGUUGAUACUGGAUAUCUUGAGUGCAGUUGAGGCAGGCGGAAUUCGUGGUGUAGCGGUGAAAUGCUUAGAUAUCACGAAGAACUCCGAUUGCGAAGGCAGCCUGCUAAGCUGCAACUGACAUUGAGGCUCGAAAGUGUGGGUAUCAAACAGGAUUAGAUACCCUGGUAGUCCACACGGUAAACGAUGAAUACUCGCUGUUUGCGAUAUACAGCAAGCGGCCAAGCGAAAGCGUUAAGUAUUCCACCUGGGGAGUACGCCGGCAACGGUGAAACUCAAAGGAAUUGACGGGGGCCCGCACAAGCGGAGGAACAUGUGGUUUAAUUCGAUGAUACGCGAGGAACCUUACCCGGGCUUAAAUUGCAGAUGAAUUACGGUGAAAGCCGUAAGCCGCAAGGCAUCUGUGAAGGUGCUGCAUGGUUGUCGUCAGCUCGUGCCGUGAGGUGUCGGCUUAAGUGCCAUAACGAGCGCAACCCUUGUUGUCAGUUACUAACAGGUCAUGCUGAGGACUCUGACAAGACUGCCAUCGUAAGAUGUGAGGAAGGUGGGGAUGACGUCAAAUCAGCACGGCCCUUACGUCCGGGGCUACACACGUGUUACAAUGGGGGGUACAGAGGGCCGCUACCACGCGAGUGGAUGCCAAUCCCAAAAACCUCUCUCAGUUCGGACUGGAGUCUGCAACCCGACUCCACGAAGCUGGAUUCGCUAGUAAUCGCGCAUCAGCCACGGCGCGGUGAAUACGUUCCCGGGCCUUGUACACACCGCCCGUCAAGCCAUGGGAGCCGGGGGUACCUGAAGUGCGUAACCGCGAGGAGCGCCCUAGGGUAAAACUGGUG